rnacentral:tRNA from 2 species
GAGGGUAUAACUCAGUGGUAGAGUGCUUGCCUAGCAUGCAUGAAGCCCUGAGUUCAAUCCCCAAUACCCUAG